AAUUCACACUUGCUACAAAUCCACAUAUUUUAUUUUAUUUUUGCUUAUGUAGUAUGAAAUAUAGUAAGAAUUGUUUUAUGAACAAUGAUGUAAUUAAAUUACACUUUGUCUUGCUUGCUUGUGUAAGAUGCACAUGUUCACAAACAAAUUCAUCUGUAACGUCAACAUACAUCUAGAGGUAUAUGUUGGGCUAUCGCUUUGGUGAGGAGAGUAUCAGCUCUUUUGAAGAUACACUUGCUUCAAGAGAAUCAGUUCAUAAACUCUCUUUGGUCGCUAAUUUGUUUAUUUUAUUAAUAUUAGGAGUUAUU
rnacentral:sRNA from 1 species